rnacentral:hammerhead_ribozyme from 1 species
AUUCAGCUGACGAGUCCCAAAUAGGGUGAAGUAACGGACGUCCUGGAU